rnacentral:lncRNA from 1 species
AUCGCAUUAAAAUUACAUUUGUAAACAUUGAAAUUUUAGUGAAAUAAAUGUUGACCAUUGCAUUAAAACUACAACAAUCCACCCAAAUUCACCUACAACCUCCACCCAAAUUCACCUACAACAUACACCCAAAUUCACCUACAACAAUCCACCCAAAUUCACCUACAACCUCCACCCAAAUUCACCUACAACAUACACCCAAAUUCACCUACAACAAUCCAUCCAAAUUCACCUACAACCUCCACCCAAAUUCACCUACAACAAUCCAUCCAAAUUCACCUACAACCUCCACCCAAAUUCACCUACAACAAUCCACC